rnacentral:ribozyme from 1 species
GCUGCUCGUAAUAAUCACACACCUCUUCGUGGUGAGCAGCAGGCAACGGUCUUACUUGUGAGUAUGGUCGGCUAAGAUGCGUGA